UAUAGAUAAAACUUACCAGUUUGUAAUUUGAUUACACUUUACUGGCAAAGAACCGCUUCAAUAGUAGAGCGGUGUAGUAACCCAAAAUAAUUCACCUAAGCAACUGACAUAUUGCUAAAUUAAAACUAAAACGUCGCGCCAACAUCAAAUAUAAGUGCAAUAAACCAUGACAGAUCUGUUUAUUUAGUACUAAAGUUUAUGAGAAAAGAAGAAUAAUAAAAAUAAUUUUCAUUAUUAUUCUUUAAUAUAAAUAGGUUAAUUCGAAGGGGGUGAGCUAAAUCUGGUCUGAUAAACUCAAGCUUUAAAUAAUAUUAAGCAUACAAGGAAAAAAUACAACCAAUUGAUUACAAUGGAUUUAAUGGUUUUUUCAUUCAUA
rnacentral:misc_RNA from 1 species